rnacentral:rRNA from 1 species
UACGGGGGGGCAAGCGGUUGUUCGGAAUUACUGGGCGUAAAGGGCUCGUAGGCGGCCAACUAAGUCAGACGUGAAAUCCCUCGGCUUAACCGGGGAACUGCGUCUGAUACUGGAUGGCUUGAGGUUGGGAGAGGGAUGGCGGAAUUCCAGGUGUAGCGGUGAAAUGCGUAGAUAUCUGGAGGAACACCGGUGGCGAAGGCGGCGCCCUGGCGUCGCACCGUGACGCUCAGACACGACAGCAUGGGGAGCGAACGGG